rnacentral:rRNA from 1 species
UGGCGGACGGGUGAGUAACGCGUGGGUAACCUGCCUUGUACUGGGGGACAACAGUUAGAAAUGACUGCUAAUACCGCAUAAGCGCACAGUAUCGCAUGAUACAGUGUGAAAAACUCCGGUGGUACAAGAUGGACCCGCGUCUGAUUAGCUAGUUAGUAAGGUAACGGCUUACCAAGGCGACGAUCAGUAGCCGACCUGAGAGGGUGACCGGCCACAUUGGGACUGAGACACGGCCCAAACUCCUACGGGAGGCAGCAUG